rnacentral:rRNA from 1 species
AUUGAACGCUGGCGGCAUGCUUUACACAUGCAAGUCGAACGGUAACAGGGUGCUUGCACCGCUGACGAGUGGCGAACGGGUGAGUAAUGCGUCGGAACGUGCCGAGUAGUGGGGGAUAACGCAGCGAAAGUUGUGCUAAUACCGCAUACGUACUGAGGUAGAAAGUGGGGGACCUUCGGGCCUCACGCUAUUCGAGCGGCCGACGUCUGAUUAGCUAGUAGGUGAGGUAAAGGCUCACCUAGGCGACGCUCAGUAGCGGGUCUGAGAGGAUGAUCCGCCACACUGGGACUGAGACACGGCCCAGACUCCUACGGGAGACAGCAGUGGGGAAUUUUGGACAAUGGGCGUAAGCCUGAUUCAGCCAUGCCGCGUGUCUGAAGAAGGCCUUCGGGUUGUAAAGGACUUUUGUCAGGGAGGAAAUCCCUAGUGCUAAUAACACUGGGGGAUGACAGUACCUGAAGAAUAAGCACCGGCUAACUACGUGCCAGCAGCCGCCGUAA